rnacentral:rRNA from 1 species
ACGAACGCUGGCGGCAUGCCUAAUACAUGCAAGUCGAGCGAACAUUUCUAGAAGCUUGCUUCUAUAAAUGUUAGCGGCGGAUGGGUGAGUAACACGUGGGCAACCUGCCCUGCAGAUGGGGAUAACUCCGGGAAACCGGGGCUAAUACCGGAUAAUCAGUUUGUCCGCAUGGACAAACUCUAAAAGACGGCUUCGGCUGUCACUGCAGGAUGGGCCCGCGGCGCAUUAGCUAGUUGGUGGGAUAACGGCCUACCAAGGCAACGAUGCGUAGCCGACCUGAGAGGGUGAUCGGCCACACUGGGACUGAGACACGGCCCAGACUCCUACGGGAGGCAGCAGUAGGGAAUCUUCCACAAUGGACGGAAGUCUGAUGGAGCAAUGCCGCGUGAGCGAAGAAGGUUUUCGGAUCGUAAAGCUCUGUUGUGAGGGAAGAACAAGUACGGGAGUAACUGCCCGUACCUUGACGGUACCUCAUUAGAAAGCCACGGCUAACUACGUG